GGGUUGUGAGGUUAAGCGACUAAGCGUACACGGUGGAUGCCCUGGCAGUCAGAGGCGAUGAAGGGCGUGCUAAUCUGCGAUAAGCGCCGGUAAGGUGAUAUGAACCGUUAUAACCGGCGAUACCCGAAUGGGGAAACCCAGUGUGACUCGUCACACUAUCAUUAACUGAAUCCAUAGGUUAAUGAGGCGAACCGGGGGAACUGAAACAUCUAAGUACCCCGAGGAAAAGAAAUCAACCGAGAUUCCCCCAGUAGCGGCGAGCGAACGGGGAGGAGCCCAGAGCCUGAAUCAGCAUAUGUGUUAGUGGAAGCGUCUGGAAAGGCGCGCGAUACAGGGUGACAGCCCCGUACACAAAAGCGCAUGUGCUGUGAGCUCGAUGAGUAGGGCGGGACACGUGGUAUCCUGUCUGAAUAUGGGGGGACCAUCCUCCAAGGCUAAAUACUCCUGACUGACCGAUAGUGAACCAGUACCGUGAGGGAAAGGCGAAAAGAACCCCGGCGAGGGGAGUGAAAAAGAACCUGAAACCGUGUACGUACAAGCAGUGGGAGCACCCUUUGGGGUGUGACUGCGUACCUUUUGUAUAAUGGGUCAGCGACUUAUAUUCUGUAGCAAGGUUAACCGAAUAGGGGAGCCGGAGGGAAACCGAGUCUUAAUUGGGCGUUAAGUUGCAGGGUAUAGACCCGAAACCCGGUGAUCUAGCCAUGGGCAGGUUGAAGGUUGGGUAACACUAACUGGAGGACCGAACCGACUAAUGUUGAAAAAUUAGCGGAUGACCUGUGGCUGGGGGUGAAAGGCCAAUCAAACCGGGAGAUAGCUGGUUCUCCCCGAAAGCUAUUUAGGUAGCGCCUCGUGAAUUCAUCUCCGGGGGUAGAGCACUGUUUCGGCUAGGGGGCCAUCCCGGCUUACCAACCCGAUGCAAACUGCGAAUACCGGAGAAUGUUAUCACGGGAGACACACGGCGGGUGCUAACGUCCGUCGUGAAGAGGGAAACAACCCAGACCGCCAGCUAAGGUCCCAAAGUCAUGGUUAAGUGGGAAACGAUGUGGGAAGGCCCAGACAGCCAGGAUGUUGGCUUAGAAGCAGCCAUCAUUUAAAGAAAGCGUAAUAGCUCACUGGUCGAGUCGGCCUGCGCGGAAGAUGUAACGGGGCUAAACCAU
rnacentral:rRNA from 1 species